AGAAAAUAUAACCCUUGUUUGUGGCCGCAGUUCUUAUAAGAGAUGCUGGUCAGACGGUCGUUACGUUUAGUUUCCGUAACGGAUAGAUAGUAGUGCAUAUUUACAAUAAACUUGUUGAAACUUAUUGACUUUUAACACACUAACACGGAGAGUCCCCUCUAUCGGCCGAGCGAUUAUAGUUAUGCAAGUAUACUAAUGUAUAAAGGUUUAAAGCUGAUAAACACAAUUUCUGAUGUGUGCAUUUACCAGGAUGAUGAUGUCUACAUUCUAUCGUGACUCAAAUUCUGCGUUACGAUAGAGUAAGCCGACAAACUAAAGUGAUCUCUCCAAUCAUUGUCACUUUAUUCCUUCCAGUGCGCAAACUUGUUUUAAUUUCAGUUGAAGAUAAACGCCUGCGAUGUCUACAUCUGUUUUCAGCCAUGAACAGUUUCUGGACAGGUCGCCUGAGGCCGUCAGUGAAUUAAGGUGCAAGAUUGAAGAACAGAUGGAUUCUUUAUCUGAGCAGGAAGGCCAUGAAUUUGACAUCCGCCUCCUCUUAAACCUGCAAAGAACCAUCGACUUUCUCAGCACAGAUGCGUUCCUUGACGGCUCAAAUAAUCAUUUGGAAGAAAUGGUAAUUAUGUUGGCCGGUAACAGGCAAAUGGACGAAGUUUCCACAACUGACUUGCUUAUCAGCGGGAUGAUGAAGAUUGUUUCAACUUUUAAAGACAGCCCAAGUAGUAGAAGACGUUUCUCUUCAGCUAAGCAGGAACUUAGGUUACAUGACGUUACUGAUAGAGAGCUUACAAAGAAGUCAUUGGGUGAGACCUGGAAAUCUUCUUGGUCAUAGAUGCACUCAAAUUGAACUACAAAUCCGAGACUUGACAGCAUGGACAACUGCAGCAACUUUCUUCUUCAACAAACAAACUGCCAUCACCAAGAAAGUAUUGCAGGCUACGUGUUUACAGGAUUUUCUAUCGGCUUGUGAAAGUCCAGUAUGUAAACUCUGUUCCGAAACGCUGUGUGUGUCCAAGCACUUUAUUGUUUUGGACGCCUGCCCCCACAUCUGCUGCAGCGCAUGCGUCACGCGACUGGAAGGAAUUGGGAUGCAGUUGCUUCGUGACCGGAUGCCGGGGACACUAUUCAGUCCAGCUGAUUGGGCUCUUUUUAACGGAAAAAUAUGUCCUACGUGCAAGAUUGUGAGUCAAACUUUCGUAAGGAGCGAGGUAGCGGAGAAAAUGUUGGUGCUGAGCUACGUUUUUGAUAAAUGCGGUCUCAGUCGAGAGCAAGUAUUGAUGAAGUUCUCGGAAGUUCAUGAGUAAAUCCUGCCACCAUUCUAUAUGGAUGUUGGUUGUGAAUAUCUUGUCGCAAAUGCACAAGUGAAAAUAAACGACGGCAGUAAUUCGCUAUAUGAAAGAAAGCUAUUUUUGAGUUGCUCAUGAAGAACUGGUCGCUCGUUUACAUGUUAACGUUAUGAUCCCACAGGCGAAACCUUGGCUUUACUUGCGGCCAGGCUGGUGCACAUCGUAGCCAAUUCAAUUCCCUCCAUAAGUUAAAACUUUGUCUUCAACGGUAGAGUUUUAUUCAUAUCGACUUGAAGUUUUCUCAAGUAAAUAUUUUAUUUAAUUUGUAUGAGUAACUUGGGAAGAUAAUUAGAGAUGAUCAUUUUUAAAUUAUUGACUCGUUCCAAGAAAUGUUUAGAUAAUACAUCAGAGCUGAAGUUGAGGAAAGCCUAAAAACUUUAGCUCAAUGACUUGAAAGUCGUACAAAAGAUUGAAGUUACAUGAGCAAAUAAAUGCAAUGAGACUUAUAUGAAUUUUAUGUUGAUGAUCAUCGGUGUGUGGCACCGAUGUUGAAUUUUAACAGUACAUUUUAUCAACUGGUUUUGUUCUUACCUUGUGUUUAUUGCAAAUUUUAUAGCAAUGAAAUUCUCGCCGAUGU
rnacentral:lncRNA from 1 species